GGAAGACGUUGUUUACGAUGUUUACGUAGCUGCCGCGGCGAUCGACAUCCGGCCUACCACAAAGGGUACUGUCGGCGGUGGAAACGCGACCUCGGAACUGAGCUGGGCUAUACCGCCCCCUCCCUACCGCCCCUUUGCGAUCCGAUCCGUUCCGCACCCUGCAGUGGAAACGCAGGGUGUGUGUGUAAUUCAGCAUAGGGCCUCUAUUGGAUGCUUAUCCCAUGAAGUGUAGUCAUGUGCACUGAGCGGACCCCAGACCUCACUUCCAUACAGCGCGAUAGGCUGUAUUAAACUGUAAUUUGCACCAGAUUGAGAUAGGUAUGUUUAUGUUGUAAAAAAAUAUAUAUUAAAAUUUAGAUUUUAUUGCAUAUAGGCCUCUACAGGCUUUUUCUUGAGUGCAUUCACUGCCAUGCUGAAACUUCCAGAUGCAGUAAUAUCCAGACCAAGGGCCCAGAUCUGGCAGAAUUUCGCUAGCGGGUCCAGGUGCUGCUGUAGGCCCUGUUCGGAGUGUGACAGGAGAACCAGAUCGUCUGCAAAUAGGAGGAAUUAUACCUCUGUGCUUUGAAGGUUGAGCCCAGGAGCUGCAGACUGUUCCAACAAGCCGCCCGGCCUCACCCCCCGUUUCUGUGCGAAGAACUAUGUUUGUUUGGUGCCAAUUCUUACGCUGAGUUUAUUAUUUGAGUACAUUGACUUGAUCACGUCGAACACUUUACCCACCACACCACUCUCUACAUGUUUGUAGUAUAAUCCUGUGUGCCAAAUAGAGUCAAAUGCUUUUUUAAAGUCGACAAAGCAGGAUUAUUUUUUUUUUUUCAUAUUUUGUUACAUGCUUGUUGAUUAGAGCGAUUAGGGUGUAAAUGUGGUACGGUGGCCUGGAAGAAAGCCGAUUUGGUUUCUACACAGGGUAUUGUGUUUGUUAAGGAAGGUUUGAAUUCUCCCAUUUAAAAUGCUAUUAAAAACCUUACCCAGAUUACUGUUCACACAUAUACCUCUGUAAUUAUAAGGGUCCAAUUUGUUUCCACUUUUAUUAAUUGAUUCUAGAUGUCAGGAAAACAGCCAGAAUAUAGAACAAGGUUGAACAAUUUGAGCAUUGCGUUCUGAUUUGCAGGUGUGCUAUGUUUAAGCAUCUCACUUCUGAUAAUGUCAGGCCCACAGGAUUUAUGGGACUUUAAUGAUUUAGGUUUUUCUUUCAGUUCUUCACUUGAGAUGGGGAAGUCAAGUGGA
ensembl:lncRNA